CAGCCCCCGAGAACCUCGGCGGCGGUGCUACUCCCUGUUCCCUCUUUGGCAUUUGGACGACGCUGUGGUCUGCGCCCCCCACCCCCAGUUCGUACGUUGACUCGCUGGCCCCCAGCAUGAUGGAGUUUGGAGGGGGAGGCCUUGCAGGGGAUUAGGUGUAGAUAAUGUCCCGAGGGUAAGGCCCCCGGGGCGAGGUGGGCUUAGCAUCCUCACAAGAAGCGUGAGGGAGACCAGAGCUCGCGCGCACCCUCUCACCCUCUUUCGCUCCUCAUGCCCCGUGAAGAUGCCCUGAGAAGGCGGCCUCUGCAAGCCAGGAAGCAGAUCUCGCCGGGAGCCAAGUCUGCGGCACCUUGACCUUCCACUUCUGGCCUCCAGAACAGUGAGGAAACCCUGAAUUGGAAGGUGAAGAGAAGAAAGUGGACUUUUGGCACUAUUGGGAAAUAAUUCUUCAUUAUGCAAGACUUUAUUACAUCCUUGCUAUAGGAGAGGAAGAAUUAACAAGGUAACUCCUCAACUACCUCAGGAAAACACCUCCAGGCUUACAAAACAAGGCGCUCCCCAUAUCUCCUUGCUUCUCACAACACCAGCGAGGCCAGCAGUUCCAUCCUCAUCUCAGAAACCAGAGACUGUCAGCAGAGAGGUAAGGCACAUGGACCCAACUCAGGUCAGACAACCCACAAGGGGAGUCAGCCAGACUCAAUUUCACCUUCUGGUUUCAAGUGGCAGGAGCUGGCUUUUAAUGAGCAAUUAGCAUGUGCGGUGCAUUUCCUGUGACACUUGCCCGCAGUAGUUUGCCUGAUUCUGUGAGGACUUGACGGCGAGGCUC